rnacentral:rRNA from 1 species
UACGGAGGGUGCUAGCGUUGUUCGGAAUUACUGGGCGUAAAGCGCGCGUAGGCGGCUUUGCAAGUUAGAGGUGAAAGCCCGGGGCUCAACUCCGGAAUUGCCUUUAAAACUGCAUCGCUAGAAUUGUGGAGAGGUAAGUGGAAUUCCGAGUGUAGAGGUGAAAUUCGUAGAUAUUCGCAAGAACACCAGUGGCGAAGGCGGCUCACUGGCCCGGUACUGACGCUGAGGUGCGAAAGCGUGGGGAGCAAACAGG